CUGACUCACACAGAGGCAGCUUCCAGCCUUCCACAGUUCUUCCAAUUCGACACAGUUAUUUAUUUAUUUUUUUAAGGUCCAAACUCCUGUGCAGAGCAAGCAUCCAAAUGCUGUCAUCCUCUCAGCCCCAUGCUCUAGCUCAUUUUUCACACCACUGGAUUUAAUUUACUAUUAUCGUGCCUGGAAUGUGUUUGCAUCUGUAUUCUUGAGAGAUUGCUAUACAGCUCAUUUGAGGCCUCACAAGAUUAAAACUUGAUGCUUCAGACCCUCUGAGCCCCUUUGUCUGCGUGGAACGGGUCUCUAGUCGCGGGUGGACAAAGCGUAGGAUGAGUGACAAACAGACGCACACAGGAGAGGUCGAGGAAUCUGAAUGUCAUUUUUCAAAUCGAGCAUCAGACUUUUUAUGCAGAAGACAAUAAGGAAGUUGGAUGACAUACCUGCAAGGUACAAAUGAGCUUUCCCAGAUAUCUCUGAAGAUACCAUUUUGAAUAGGACUCACAUCACUCACUGCCUUGGUAGGGUCAUCUUUGUUCCACAAGAGGAAAACUGUCCACGAGAGUUCUAGGAUGGAUUUACCAGCUCUUCUUCUCUCCUGAAGACUGUUGUCCUGCCUAUGCCCAGACCCAUCUACAUCAGAUCUGAGGAGUGAGUCUUCUAAACUAUGAAGGACAUAUUAUAAUAUUCAAUAAACAAUCUGUGGCCUCCAUAUGCACAGAAUGUGAUGCUGGGCAAACAGAGAGCUCUGAGCAAAAGUUCUAAGAAAGAAAGUCUUCUAAUGGAAGCAUCUGCAAGCCUGAUGAACUAAUUUGAACCUCAGUGACCAUGAAGAGUUUGGAAUGUUACAGGUCCAGGGUCUAUUUACAAUUCAUCUUGGGUUAUCUUUAGCUCUCUAAGUAGCCAUUCUUUCCUUAUAUUUGUGUGAACCUAACAUUCUGUGCCUAACAGAUUAAGAAGUCUUUUGGAAUGUAGUAAAUCUGUGGCUUCCACUAAUUGAAAGACUGAGUGUCAUCAGGUAGUACCUGAGCCCUACAGUCAAUACUUCUCUGCAUGUUUUCACUAAUGUACCUGAAAACUGCUUUGAUCUUUUUAGUUUCUUUGUUCUGUUACUAUAAACUAAUUCCACAUUGGAACAUGGAAUUUGACACUACACCCGUGUUCCCAGGCUAUGGUCGCUCUUAUUUGGCUCUGGAAUAAAUUGAAAUGAGAUGUGUGCUUCUGCCUCAACAUUAAAUUUUCUGGUGAUAACCAUUACCCAAAGUGGUUCACAGAAGGUUUUAUCUUGGCUGGGCAAAUCACAGUGGUGGGGGAGACAUGUCAAGGGAGACUGGAGAAGGAAGCUGAGAGAUCCCAUCUUCAACCACAUGUAGAAAGCAGAGUGUAAGGCCUGGAAGUGGGGCCAGGCUAUAAACCCCCAAAGCCCAUCCACAGUUCUGCAAGGAAAGCUUCCAUCCAUGACCUUGCCAGACAAUGCUGGUCGCUGGGGACUGAUGGUGAAGUCCAUGAGUCAGUGAGGGAACAUUUCUUGUUCAAACCAUCACACCAUAUAAAUUUGAGAGACAG
rnacentral:lncRNA from 1 species